rnacentral:lncRNA from 1 species
CUGGAGAUGAUUUAAAGUAUAUAGGAGGAUGUGCAUAGGUUAUAUGCAAAUACUGUGCCAUUUUAUAUAAGGAACUUGAGCAUCCAUGGAUUUUGAUUUCUGCAGGGGGUACUGAAACCAAUCCUCUAUGAUACUGAGGGAUGACUCUUACCGUAUGAUCCAGCAAUCAUGCUGGUUAGUAUUUAUCCAAACCAAUUGAAAACUCAUGUCCACACAAAAACCUGCCCAUGAAUGUUGAUAGCAGCUUUAUUCAUAACUGCCAAACUUGGAAGCAACCAAGAUGCCUUUCAAUAGUGGCACAUGUACAUGAAAUAGAAAAUACCUUCUGAAUGCAAUUAACUGCUCAUGAACUACCAUGAAAUUUGGGACAUAGCUACCUUGUUGGCUAAAAUGAGAAAAGAAUGAUUAUUUGUUCUCAGAUGAGAAACGUCAACAUCUGAAACUCUCCAGUGUUUUGCUCGGUAUCUCUUCUUCCUCGAUAAUAUCAACAAGGCCAAAGGAUGGAAGAAUGGACAAAUAGGCAAACAGACACAGAUAGACACACACACAAUUUCUUAAUUAGUUUUUAUUUAUUUUUUAAAUUUUAUUGCAUGUCC